rnacentral:lncRNA from 1 species
GAAAUUUAUUUCAAAAACAAACUUAGCUCCCACUUAAUUUAUUGGAGCUCCCAGUAUUUCUGCGGAUCCUAACACUCGGGUUAGGAAGCAGAAAUCCUUCGUGAGUGAAGGUUCCUAGCGGGAACUGCAGUCCCACUGAUUGGCACAUCACCUCACCUGACAAAUCUUGGUGAAUGUGUCAAUCAAUAGGUGGACAACUUUUGCCCAAUGCUUCUUAAGCAAAUUGCAGCAGACUUUGGAUCUCUAAGUCCUCAGAUCUCACCUGACAGAUUUUGGUCUUAUUUCUUAGUUAAGUCAGACCCACCAUUAAGCGUGAGUGAAGUCGUUAUUAGACCCUCACCUGAUAGAUCUUGAGCACAACCCCUAUCUCAACCCCGCAUUUAGAGUGGUUACUUCUUUCCUGAUGCAACUGAACCACUGUAUCCAGUCGAGAACAGUUAACAUUGAAGAGGGCACAGCAUUCUACAACGGUGAAAGACUCGACUUAAUAUUAUUAAGGAAAUUUUAAUUUAGGUCUCUUAAUUAGUCAUAACGGUUAUGACUAACCUAGUGGCAUGGGCUAGCUCGAGUUCAUCAAGUAAUCUAAUACAAAAACUAAUCUUCCAAAAUGAUCAGGUAAGUUAAGAUGUGUGGGGGUCCUCAGUUGUUUUUUU